UUUGGUUAAGUUAGAAAGGGCGCACGGUGGAUGCCUUGACACUAGGAGUCGAUGAAGGACGGGACUAACGCCGAUAUGCUUCGGGGAGCUGUAAGUAAGCUUUGAUCCGAAGAUUUCCGAAUGGGGAAACCCACCAUACGUAAUGGUAUGGUAUCCUUAUCUGAAUACAUAGGGUAAGGAAGACAGACCCAGGGAACUGAAACAUCUAAGUACCUGGAGGAAGAGAAAGCAAAUGCGAUUUCCUGAGUAGCGGCGAGCGAAACGGAACAUAGCCCAAACCAAGAGGCUUGCCUCUUGGGGUUGUAGGACAUUCUAUACGGAGUUACAAAGGAACGAGGUAGACGAAGCGACCUGGAAAGGUCCGUCGUAGAGGGUAACAACCCCGUAGUCGAAACUUCGUUCUCUCUUGAAUGUAUCCUGAGUACGGCGGAACACGUGAAAUUCCGUCGGAAUCUGGGAGGACCAUCUCCCAAGGCUAAAUACUCCCUAGUGAUCGAUAGUGAACCAGUACCGUGAGGGAAAGGUGAAAAGCACCCCGGAAGGGGAGUGAAAGAGAUCCUGAAACCGUGUGCCUACAAAUAGUCAGAGCCCGUUAAUGGGUGAUGGUGUGCCUUUUGUAGAAUGAACCGGCGAGUUACGAUCCCGUGCGAGGUUAAGCUGAAGAGGCGGAGCCGCAGCGAAAGCGAGUCUGAAUAGGGCGUUUAGUACGUGGUCGUAGACCCGAAACCAGGUGAUCUACCCAUGUCCAGGGUGAAGUUCAGGUAACACUGAAUGGAGGCCCGAACCCACGCACGUUGAAAAGUGCGGGGAUGAGGUGUGGGUAGCGGAGAAAUUCCAAUCGAACCUGGAGAUAGCUGGUUCUCCCCGAAAUAGCUUUAGGGCUAGCCUUAAGUGUAAGAGUCUUGGAGGUAGAGCACUGAUUGGACUAGGGGUCCUCAUCGGAUUACCGAAUUCAGUCAAACUCCGAAUGCCAAUGACUUAUCCUUAGGAGUCAGACUGCGAGUGAUAAGAUCCGUAGUCAAAAGGGAAACAGCCCAGACCGCCAGCUAAGGUCCCAAAGUGUGUAUUAAGUGGAAAAGGAUGUGGAGUUGCUUAGACAACUAGGAUGUUGGCUUAGAAGCAGCCACCAUUUAAAGAGUGCGUAAUAGCUCACUAGUCGAGUGACUCUGCGCCGAAAAUGUACCGGGGCUAAAUACACCACCGAAGCUGCGGAUUGAUACCAAUGGUAUCAGUGGUAGGGGAGCGUUCUAAGGACAGUGAAGUCAGACCGGAAGGACUGGUGGAGUGCUUAGAAGUGAGAAUGCCGGUAUGAGUAGCGAAAGACGGGUGAGAAUCCCGUCCACCGAAUGCCUAAGGUUUCCUGAGGAAGGCUCGUCCGCUCAGGGUUAGUCAGGACCUAAGCCGAGGCCGACAGGCGUAGGCGAUGGACAACAGGUUGAUAUUCCUGUACCACCUCUUUAUCGUUUGAGCAAUGGAGGGACGCAGAAGGAUAGAAGAAGCGUGCGAUUGGUUGUGCACGUCCAAGCAGUUAGGCUGAUAAGUAGGCAAAUCCGCUUAUCGUGAAGGCUGAGCUGUGAUGGGGAAGCUCCUUAUGGAGCGAAGUCUUUGAUUCCCCGCUGCCAAGAAAAGCUUCUAGCGAGAUAAAAGGUGCCUGUACCGCAAACCGACACAGGUAGGCGAGGAGAGAAUCCUAAGGUGUGCGAGAGAACUCUGGUUAAGGAACUCGGCAAAAUGACCCCGUAACUUCGGGAGAAGGGGUGCUUUCUUAACGGAAAGCCGCAGUGAAUAGGCCCAAGCGACUGUUUAGCAAAAACACAGCUCUCUGCGAAGCCGUAAGGCGAAGUAUAGGGGGUGACACCUGCCCGGUGCUGGAAGGUUAAGGAGAGGGGUUAGCGUAAGCGAAGCUCUGAACUGAAGCCCCAGUAAACGGCGGCCGUAACUAUAACGGUCCUAAGGUAGCGAAAUUCCUUGUCGGGUAAGUUCCGACCCGCACGAAAGGUGUAACGAUUUGGGCACUGUCUCAACCAGAGACUCGGUGAAAUUAUAGUACCUGUGAAGAUGCAGGUUACCCGCGACAGGACGGAAAGACCCCGUGGAGCUUUACUGUAGCCUGAUAUUGAAUUUUGGUACAGUUUGUACAGGAUAGGCGGGAGCCUUUGAAACCGGAGCGCUAGCUUCGGUGGAGGCGCUGGUGGGAUACCGCCCUGACUGUAUUGAAAUUCUAACCUACGGGUCUUAUCGACCCGGGAGACAGUGUCAGGUGGGCAGUUUGACUGGGGCGGUCGCCUCCUAAAGUGUAACGGAGGCGCCCAAAGGUUCCCUCAGAAUGGUUGGAAAUCAUUCGUAGAGUGCAAAGGCAUAAGGGAGCUUGACUGCGAGACCUACAAGUCGAGCAGGGACGAAAGUCGGGCUUAGUGAUCCGGUGGUUCCGCAUGGAAGGGCCAUCGCUCAACGGAUAAAAGCUACCCCGGGGAUAACAGGCUUAUCUCCCCCAAGAGUCCACAUCGACGGGGAGGUUUGGCACCUCGAUGUCGGCUCAUCGCAUCCUGGGGCUGUAGUCGGUCCCAAGGGUUGGGCUGUUCGCCCAUUAAAGCGGUACGCGAGCUGGGUUCAGAACGUCGUGAGACAGUUCGGUCCCUAUCCGUCGUGGGCGUAGGAAAUUUGAGAGGAGCUGUCCUUAGUACGAGAGGACCGGGAUGGACGCACCGCUGGUGUACCAGUUGUUCUGCCAAGGGCAUAGCUGGGUAGCUAUGUGCGGAAGGGAUAAGUGCUGAAAGCAUCUAAGCAUGAAGCCCCCUCAAGAUGAGAUUUCCCAUAGCGUAAGCUAGUAAGAUCCCUGAAAGAUGAUCAGGUUGAUAGGUUCGAGGUGGAAGCAUGGUGACAUGUGGAGCUGACGAAUACUAAUAGAUCGAGGACUUAACCAUAUAA
rnacentral:rRNA from 1 species